AACCAUAGGCCAUCCUGAGCACCUGUCCACCCAGAAUAUUACAGGACAAGAACUAAUGCAUAUGCCAAUCUGCUGUAAAAGCAUGGUCUGCUGUACCUGAGAAUGCGAGAAAAUUAAGUUCAAGAUCACCUGAUGAAGUACCUUCAUCAAUUUUCAACUUCAAGCAUUGGCAGAAUUCAUCAACUGUUAUGUGGUACGCUGUUUAUUUAAUGAAGACUUGUACAUAUCUUCCUUGUCUCUUACAAUUUAUUACAUCUUUGUGAUAUUUUCUUCUUAAUAAAAGUUGCUUAAUCAAUUA